CCUACGGGGGGCAGCAGUGGGGAAUAUUGCACAAUGGGGGAAACCCUGAUGCAGCGACGCCGCGUGAGUGAAGAAGUAUUUCGGUAUGUAAAGCUCUAUCAGCAGGGAAGAAAAUGACGGUACCUGAGUAAGAAGCCCCGGCUAACUACGUGCCAGCAGCCGCGGUAAUACGUAGGGGGCAAGCGUUAUCCGGAUUUACUGGGUGUAAAGGGAGCGUAGACGGCAGCGCAAGUCUGGAGUGAAAGGCCGGGGCUUAACCCCGGGACUGCUUUGGAAACUGUGCAGCUAGAGUGCAGGAGAGGUAAGUGGAAUUCCUAGUGUAGCGGUGAAAUGCGUAGAUAUUAGGAGGAACACCAGUGGCGAAGGCGGCUUACUGGACUGUAACUGACGUUGAGGCUCGAAAGCGUGGGGAGCAAACAGGAUUAGAUACCCCGGUAGUC
rnacentral:rRNA from 1 species